GGUUAAGCGACUAAGCGUACACGGUGGAUGCCCUGGCAGUCAGAGGCGAUGAAGGACGUGCUAAUCUGCGAUAAGCGUCGGUAAGGUGAUAUGAACCGUUAUAACCGGCGAUUUCCGAAUGGGGAAACCCAGUGUGAUUCGUCACACUAUCAUUAACUGAAUCCAUAGGUUAAUGAGGCGAACCGGGGGAACUGAAACAUCUAAGUACCCCGAGGAAAAGAAAUCAACCGAGAUUCCCCCAGUAGCGGCGAGCGAACGGGGAGCAGCCCAGAGCCUGAAUCAGUGUGUGUGUUAGUGGAAGCGUCUGGAAAGGCGCGCGAUACAGGGUGACAGCCCCGUACACAAAAAUGCACAUGCUGUGAGCUCGAUGAGUAGGGCGGGACACGUGGUAUCCUGUCUGAAUAUGGGGGGACCAUCCUCCAAGGCUAAAUACUCCUGACUGACCGAUAGUGAACCAGUACCGUGAGGGAAAGGCGAAAAGAACCCCGGCGAGGGGAGUGAAAAAGAACCUGAAACCGUGUACGUACAAGCAGUGGGAGCACAGAGCAAUCUGUGUGACUGCGUACCUUUUGUAUAAUGGGUCAGCGACUUAUAUUCUGUAGCAAGGUUAACCGAAUAGGGGAGCCGAAGGGAAACCGAGUCUUAACUGGGCGUUAAGUUGCAGGGUAUAGACCCGAAACCCGGUGAUCUAGCCAUGGGCAGGUUGAAGGUUGGGUAACACUAACUGGAGGACCGAACCGACUAAUGUUGAAAAAUUAGCGGAUGACUUGUGGCUGGGGGUGAAAGGCCAAUCAAACCGGGAGAUAGCUGGUUCUCCCCGAAAGCUAUUUAGGUAGCGCCUCGUGAAUUCAUCUCCGGGGGUAGAGCACUGUUUCGGCAAGGGGGUCAUCCCGACUUACCAACCCGAUGCAAACUGCGAAUACCGGAGAAUGUUAUCACGGGAGACACACGGCGGGUGCUAACGUCCGUCGUGAAGAGGGAAACAACCCAGACCGCCAGCUAAGGUCCCAAAGUCAUGGUUAAGUGGGAAACGAUGUGGGAAGGCCCAGACAGCCAGGAUGUUGGCUUAGAAGCAGCCAUCAUUUAAAGAAAGCGUAAUAGCUCACUGGUCGAGUCGGCCUGCGCGGAAGAUGUAACGGGGCUAAACCAUGCACCGAAGCUGCGGCAGCGACGCUGAUGCGUUGUUGGGUAGGGGAGCGUUCUGUAAGCCUGCGAAGGUGUGCUGUGAGGCAUGCUGGAGGUAUCAGAAGUGCGAAUGCUGACAUAAGUAACGAUAAAGCGGGUGAAAAGCCCGCUCGCCGGAAGACCAAGGGUUCCUGUCCAACGUUAAUCGGGGCAGGGUGAGUCGACCCCUAAGGCGAGGCCGAAAGGCGUAGUCGAUGGGAAACAGGUUAAUAUUCCUGUACUUGGUGUUACUGCGAAGGGGGGACGGAGAAGGCUAUGUUGGCCGGGCGACGGUUGUCCCGGUUUAAGCGUGUAGGCUGGUUUUCCAGGCAAAUCCGGAAAAUCAAGGCUGAGGCGUGAUGACGAGGCACUACGGUGCUGAAGCAACAAAUGCCCUGCUUCCAGGAAAAGCCUCUAAGCAUCAGGUAACAUCAAAUCGUACCCCAAACCGACACAGGUGGUCAGGUAGAGAAUACCAAGGCGCUUGAGAGAACUCGGGUGAAGGAACUAGGCAAAAUGGUGCCGUAACUUCGGGAGAAGGCACGCUGAUAUGUAGGUGAAGUCCCUCGCGGAUGGAGCUGAAAUCAGUCGAAGAUACCAGCUGGCUGCAACUGUUUAUUAAAAACACAGCACUGUGCAAACACGAAAGUGGACGUAUACGGUGUGACGCCUGCCCGGUGCCGGAAGGUUAAUUGAUGGGGUUAGCGCAAGCGAAGCUCUUGAUCGAAGCCCCGGUAAACGGCGGCCGUAACUAUAACGGUCCUAAGGUAGCGAAAUUCCUUGUCGGGUAAGUUCCGACCUGCACGAAUGGCGUAAUGAUGGCCAGGCUGUCUCCACCCGAGACUCAGUGAAAUUGAACUCGCUGUGAAGAUGCAGUGUACCCGCGGCAAGACGGAAAGACCCCGUGAACCUUUACUAUAGCUUGACACUGAACAUUGAGCAUUGAUGUGUAGGAUAGGUGGGAGGCUUUGAAGUGUGGACGCCAGUCUGCAUGGAGCCGACCUUGAAAUACCACCCUUUAAUGUUUGAUGUUCUAACGUUGACCCGUAAUCCGGGUUGCGGACAGUGUCUGGUGGGUAGUUUGACUGGGGCGGUCUCCUCCUAAAGAGUAACGGAGGAGCACGAAGGUUGGCUAAUCCUGGUCGGACAUCAGGAGGUUAGUGCAAUGGCAUAAGCCAGCUUGACUGCGAGCGUGACGGCGCGAGCAGGUGCGAAAGCAGGUCAUAGUGAUCCGGUGGUUCUGAAUGGAAGGGCCAUCGCUCAACGGAUAAAAGGUACUCCGGGGAUAACAGGCUGAUACCGCCCAAGAGUUCAUAUCGACGGCGGUGUUUGGCACCUCGAUGUCGGCUCAUCACAUCCUGGGGCUGAAGUAGGUCCCAAGGGUAUGGCUGUUCGCCAUUUAAAGUGGUACGCGAGCUGGGUUUAGAACGUCGUGAGACAGUUCGGUCCCUAUCUGCCGUGGGCGCUGGAGAACUGAGGGGGGCUGCUCCUAGUACGAGAGGACCGGAGUGGACGCAUCACUGGUGUUCGGGUUGUCAUGCCAAUGGCACUGCCCGGUAGCUAAAUGCGGAAGAGAUAAGUGCUGAAAGCAUCUAAGCACGAAACUUGCCCCGAGAUGAGUUCUCCCUGACUCCUUGAGAGUCCUGAAGGAACGUUGAAGACGACGACGUUGAUAGGCCGGGUGUGUAAGCGCAGCGAUGCGUUGAGCUAACCGGUACUAAUGAACCGUGAGGCUUAACCUU
rnacentral:rRNA from 1 species